rnacentral:rRNA from 1 species
CUUGUAGGCGGCCAACUAAGUCAAACGUGAAAUCCCUCGGCUUAACCGGGGAACUGCGCUUGAUACUGGAUGGCUUGAGAUUGGGAGAGGGAUGCGGAAUUCCAGGUGUAGCGGUGAAAUGCGUAGAUAUCUGGAGGAACACCGGUGGCGAAGGCGGCAUCCUGGACCAACACUGACGCUGAGGAGCGAAAGCCAGGGGGAGCAAAACGG